rnacentral:rRNA from 1 species
GAAGACGGCCAUAGUAGGUUGGAAACACCUGUUCCCUUUCCGAACACAGAAGUUAAGCUUCCUACGUUGUCCAUGGUAGUGUCCCGCAAGACGCGAACUGUUCAAGUCGUCUUUC